rnacentral:lncRNA from 1 species
UUAAGCCAGUCUAGUAGGUCAACAGAGCGGUGGUUACAUGAGCAAAUGAUAUGUAAAAUGUUAAGUAAUAAAAGCAGAAAUAAAAAUGUACAUGCCUCAUGACUAUGACUAUAUGUAAAGAAAAGAUGGGGGGAGGACUCAGCAAAGUUGCAGGGUACAAGUUCAAAAAUCAGGUGUGUUUCUAUCCACCAGCAAUGAACAAUCCAAAAUAAAUUAAGAAAAUAAUUCCUUUACAAUGGCCUCUAAAAGAAUCCAA